rnacentral:rRNA from 1 species
UACGUAGGGCGCAAGCGUUAUCCGGAAUUAUUGGGCGUAAAGAGCUUGUAGGCGGUUUGUCGCGUCUGCCGUGAAAGCCCAGGGCUUAACCCUGGGUCUGCGGUGGGUACGGGCAGACUAGAGUGUGGUAGGGGAGACUGGAAUUCCUGGUGUAGCGGUGAAAUGCGUAGAUAUCAGGAGGAACACCUGUGGUGUAGACAGCUUACUGGACCAUUUCUGACGCUGAGACACGAAAGCGUGGGUAGCAAACAGG